rnacentral:rRNA from 1 species
UAGUACCGUGAGGGAAAGGUGAAAAGAACCCCUAAAGGGGAGUGAAAUAGAACUGAAACCGUAUGCUUACAAGCCGUUGGAGCAAUUUAUUGUGACAGCGUGCCUAUUGAAGAAUGAGCCGGCGAGUUAAUUUAUGUAGCAAGGUUAAGAUAUUAAGUAUUGGAGCCGAAGCGAAAGCGAGUCUGAAUAGGGCGCUUAGUUGCAUGGAUUAGACCCGAAACCGUGUGAGCUACCCAUGACCAGGGUGAAGCGAAAUUAACGUUUCGUGAAGGCCCGAACCCUUGUACGCUGCAAAGUGCUGGGAUGAGUUGUGGGUAGAGGAGAAAUUCCAAACGAACACGGAGAUAGCUGGUUCUCCCCGAAAUGUAUUUAGGUACAGCCUUAGGUAUUAACUGAUGGAGGUAGAGCACUGGAUGAGCUAGCGGGCGCAAGCUUAGCAAACUCAACCAAACUAAGAAUGCCAUCAGCCGAAUCCUAGGAGUGAGACAGUGACGGAUAAGCGCCAUUGUCGAAAGGGAAACAGCCCAGAUCGCAAGCUAAGGUCCCAAAGUUAUAGUUAAGUGGUAAAGGAGGUUGGAUCGCCCAGACAGCUAGUAGGUUGGCUUAGAAGCAGCCAUCCUUUAAAGAGUGCGUAAUAGCUCACUAGUCGAGGGGUUCUGCGCCGAAAAUUAUCGGGGCUAAACUAUACACCGAAGCUGCGGGAUUCUUUAUGAAUCGGUAGGGGAGCGUUCUCAAUGCACUGAAUCUGAAUUGUGAAAUUUGGUGGAGCGUUGAGAAGUGAGAAUGUCGGCAUGAGUAGCGACAAUCUUUGUGAGAAUCAAAGACACCGGAAGUCCGAGGUUUCCUACGCAACGUUGAUCGGCGUAGGGUUAGUCGGUCCUAAGGAGAAGCCGAAAGGUGAAUUCGAUGGACAGCUGGUCAAAAUUCCAGCACCGUAAUUAUCCUGUUAUGCAACGAAGGGACGCGAUAAGGACUGUUAAGCAUGCCUAUGGACAUGGUGUGUGGGGCCUUGUAGGGAAGUGAUUGUGGUUAAAAGAACAGUUACGUUAUUAACUGAGAAGGUUUCAGACCUUAAGGCUUCGGCCUUAGGGAAUUUAACACGAACUAUGUCGCCAAGAAAAGCUUCGUUGAUAGGGAUAUUAUGACCGUACCGAAAACCGACACAGGUGGACAGGGGUAAAAGCCCCAAGGUGAACGAGAAAACCAUCCUCAAGGAACUCGGCAAAUUAACCCCGUAACUUCGGAAUAAGGGGAGCCUAAAAUAUAUAGACUUCGCGUUGAAAGUAUUUUAGGCCGCAGAGAAUUGGUCUGAGCGACUGUUUAUCAAAAACACAGGUCCGUGCUAAAGCGAAAGCUGAUGUAUACGGGCUGACGCCUGCCCAGUGCCGGUAGGUUAAAGUGAAGAGUGAGAGCUUUGAUCCGAAGCCCCGGUGAACGGCGGCCGUAACUAUAACGGUCCUAAGGUAGCGAAAUCCCUUGUCGGGUAAGUUCCGACCUGCACGAAAGGCGUAACGACUUGGACACUGUCUCGAGGGUGGACUCGGUGAAAUUGCAUGACCCGUAAAGAUGCGGGUUACGCGCAGCAGGACAAAAAGACCCCGUGGAGCUUUACUGUAGCUUGGCAUUGAAUUGUGAUUAAUGAUGUGUAGGAUAGGCGGGAGACUAUGAAUUUUGAGCGUCAGCUCAAUUGGAGUCGCCCUUGAAAUACCGCCCUUCUUUGGUCUUGAUUCUAACUUUUUUAGGACAGUGUCUGGUAGGCAGUUUGACUGGGGCGGUCGCCUCCUAAAAUGUAACGGAGGCGCCCAAAGGUAACCUCAGGCUGGAUGGAAAUCAGCUUUUGAGUGCAUUGGCAUAAGGUUGCUUGACUGCGAGACCAACAAGUCGAGCAGGGACGAAAGUCGGGCAAAGUGAUCCCACGGUACCGAGUGGAAGGGCCGUGGCUUAACGGAUAAAAGCUACCCCGGGGAUAACAGGCUUAUCUCCCCCAAGAGUCCAUAUCGACGGGGAGGUUUGGCACCUCGAUGUCGGCUCGUCGCAUCCUGGGGCUGAAGAAGGUCCCAAGGGUCGGGCUGUUCGCCCGUUAAAGCGGCACGCGAGCUGGGUUCAGAACGUCGUGAGACAGUUCGGUCUCUAUCCGCUGUGCGCGCAGGAAAUUUGAGAGAGUCUGCUCCUAGUACGAGAGGACCGGAGUGGGUAGACCUCUGGUGUGCCGGUUGUGACGCCAGUUGCAUCGCCGGGUAGCUAUGUCUAUUAAGGAUAAGCGCUGAAAGCAUCUAAGUGCGAAGCCUGUCUCAAGAUAAGAUUUCCCAUCUCUUUAU